rnacentral:rRNA from 1 species
AGUGAACGCUGGCGGCAGGCCUAAUACAUGCAAAUCGAACGGCAGCACAGCAGAGCUUGCUCUGUGGGUGGCGAGUGGCGGACGGGUGAGGAAUACAUGGGAAUCUGCCCAGUCGUGGGGGAUAACGUAGGGAAACUUACGCUAAUACCGCAUGCGCCCUUCGGGGGAAAGCCGGGGACCUUCGGGCCUGGCGCGAUUGGAUGAGCCCAUGUCGGAUUAGCUAGUUGGCGGGGUAAUGGCCCACCAAGGCGACGAUCCGUAGCUGGUCUGAGAGGAUGAUCAGCCACACUGGAACUGAGACACGGUCCAGACUCCUACGGGAGGCAGCAGUAGGGAAUAUUGGACAAUGGGCGCAAGCCUGAUCCAGCCAUGCCGCGUGAGUGAAGAAGGCCCUCGGGUUGUAAAGCUCUUUUGUCCGGAAAGAAAAGCGCCGGGUUAAUACCCUGGUGUCCUGACGGUACCGGAAGAAUAAGCACCGGCUAACUUCGUG